rnacentral:rRNA from 1 species
GAUGAACGCUGGCGGCGUGCCUAAUACAUGCAAGUCGAGCGAACAGAUGAGGAGCUUGCUCCUCUGACGUUAGCGGCGGACGGGUGAGUAACACGUGGAUAACCUACCUAUAAGACUGGGAUCACUUCGGGAAACCGGAGCUAAUACCGGAUAAUAUAUUGAACCGCAUGGUUCAAUAGUGAAAGACGGUUUUGCUGUCACUUCUAGAUGGAUCCGCGCCGCAUUAGCUAGUUGGUAAGGUAACGGCUUACCAAGGCAACGAUGCGUAGCCGAGCUGAGAGGGUGAUCGGCCACACGGGAACUGAGACACGGUCCAGACGCCUACGGGAGGCAGCAGUAGGGAAUCUUCCGCAAUGGGCGAAAGCCUGACGGAGCAACGCCGCGUGAGUGAUGAAGGUCUUCGGAUCGUAAAACUCUGUUAUUAGGGAAGAACAAAUGUGUAAGUAACUAUGCACGUCUUGACGGUACCUAAUCAGAAAGCCACGGCUAACUACGUG